CGGGUGAGUAACACGUAUCCAACCUGCCGUCUACUCUUGGACAGCCUUCUGAAAGGAAGAUUAAUACAAGAUGGCAUCAUGAGUCCGCAUGUUCACAUGAUUAAAGGUAUUCCGGUAGACGAUGGGGAUGCGUUCCAUUAGGUUGUUGGUGAGGUAACGGCUCACCAAGCCUUCGAUGGAUAGGGGUUCUGAGAGGAAGGUCCCCCACAUUGGAACUGAGACACGGUCCAA
rnacentral:rRNA from 1 species